rnacentral:rRNA from 1 species
UUCGUAGGUGGUGCGGCAAGUUGGGAGUGAAAUCUCUGGGCUUAACUCAGAGGCUGCUUUCAAAACUGCCGUGCUCGAGUGCGAGAAGAGGCCAGUGGAAUUGCAGGUGUAGCGGUGAAAUGCGUAGAUAUCUGCAGGAACACCCGUGGCGAAGGCGGCUGGCUGGAUCGCAACUGACACUGAGGAACGAAAGCUAGGGGAGCAAACAGGAUUAGAUACCCUGGUAGUCCUAGCCCUAAACCAUCAGAACUUGGGGUGGCUCGCGUAGGCGGGUCGUCCCGUAGCUAACGCGUUAAGUCUGCGCCUGGGGAGUACGGUCGCAAGACUGAA